UACGUAGGGAGCAAGCGUUGUCCGGAAUCAUUGGGCGUAAAGAGCGCGUAGGUGGCCCAGUAAGUCCGUUCUGAAAGUCACAGGCUCAACCUGUGAAAGCGGAUGGAUACUGCUGGGCUAGAGUCCGGAAGAGGCGAGUGGAAUUCCUGGUGUAGCGGUGGAAUGCGCAGAUAUCAGGAGGAACACCAACGGCGAAGGCAGCUCGCUGGGACGGUACUGACACUGAGGCGCGAAAGCGUGGGGAGCGAACAGG
rnacentral:rRNA from 1 species